rnacentral:rRNA from 1 species
UACGGGAGGCUGCAGUCGAGAAUCUUGGGCAAUGCGCGAAAGCGUGACCCAGCAAUGCCGCGUGUGUGAUGAAGGUCUUCGGAUUGUAAAACACUGUCUCCCGGGACGAAAGAUGACGGUACCGGGGAAGGAAGCCACGGCUAACUACGUGCCAGCAGCCGCGGUAAU